rnacentral:lncRNA from 1 species
UUAGAAGUCACCCCCAGAUUGCGAAUUAGGAUGUUUUUCAGGCGACAGAUUCAGAGUAGAGUCACUCUACUCAAAAUUCUCAGCUUAUUAACUGACCUUGUGCCCAUGAUCAUCAUCCAAAAUUUAGGAGAUUUGCUGAUUAAGUUCACCACCUUCAACUUCUUGAUAUCAUUCAUCGGAUUUCUAUAAUUACACCAUAUU